UACAGAGGUGGCAAGCGUUGUUCGGAAUCACUGGGCGUAAAGGGUGCGUAGGCGGGUCUUUAAGUCAGGGGUGAAAUCCUGGAGCUCAACUCCAGAACUGCCUUUGAUACUGAAGAUCUUGAGUUCGGGAGAGGUGAGUGGAACUGCGAGUGUAGAGGUGAAAUUCGUAGAUAUUCGCAAGAACACCAGUGGCGAAGGCGGCUCACUGGCCCGAUACUGACGCUGAGGCACGAAAGCGUGGGGAGCAAACAGG
rnacentral:rRNA from 1 species